rnacentral:rRNA from 1 species
CCUACGGGUGACAGCAGUGAGGAAUAUUGGUCAAUGGCCGAGAGGCUGAACCAGCCAAGUAGCGUGCAGGAUGACGGCCCUACGGGUUGUACACUUCUUUUGUCCGGGAAUAACGCGCCUCACGUGUAGGUCUUUUCGUGUACCCUAUGAAUCAGCAUCGGCUAACUCCGUGCCAGCAGCCGCGGUAAUACGGAGGAUCCGUGCGUUAUCCGGAUUUAUUGGGUUUAAAGGGUGCGCAGGCGGGAUGUCCAGUGUGCGGUGAAAUUUCCGGGCUCAACCCGCGUAUUGCAGUGCGAACUGGAGCCCUUGAGUGCGCGAGAAGCAGGCGGAAUUCGUGGUGUAGCGGUGAAAUGCAUAGAUAUCACGCAGAACUCCGAUUGCGAAGGCAGCUUACUGGCGCGCAACUGACGCUGAUGCUCGAAAGCGCGGGUAUCGAACAGGAUUAGAUACCCGAGUAGUC